CAAAGCCUUUUGAGCAAUUUCAAAAUCUCAGUUCUGAGAUUUAGAGUGAUGAUGGGAUGAAAAGGUAGUAUGCAGGAUAUACAAGGAAGUCAACACUUCCUCCCAGGCAGCAGUUUCCCACAGACAAACAGGAUGUCUGCCAUGCAGAAAAAUGACAGCAGUAAACUGUGCCAUGCCCGCUGGCCAGUGCUGUGUUUUGGAGACACAGGACACCCCAUCAUGCUGGUGCAGCUGCCCGAUGAGAGCAGGUGAUUAGAGCACAACAGGCAGCCCUGAAAAGCCACCAGGCUGAUGCCAGAAUCCUGCAGUUGCUGUGGACCAUGUCUGAGUCAUGUGCAGUGUCCAGAGACUUCCCUUAUGGUGCGGAAAAUGAGCAAGGUUUUCCUCUGAGUGCUUCAUUCUUCCUGGUGUGAAUUGCUGUUGUGACCUCCAGGUGCAGGCACGUCAAUUACAAAACCACAGAAAUUAAUGCCUGAGCCUUCUAACAAAGUACCAGCAGAGGGAACACACAGGAAACAUCCUGAGCCGUGAAAGAAACUCAAAGUCACUCAACCAAGCAAAACCCAGGCAGAGCAGGUAGAGCUAACAAUGUACACUGGAGGUGGCAACUGCACUGCACCAUGCCUCAAGGUGAGCAUGUCCAAACACGUGCAGUUCUCAGGGCAUCUGCAGGCCCUGCAUGCACUGCCUCUGAAGACUGUGUAUCGCUCUGCAGCUCCUCAGUGUUAUGUCAUUACUUGAUCUCAAAGGGUUGCUAAUGAGCUUUGGGCAUUCUCUGCUCCUGAAAAGGUCCAGUGGGUUAUCCCAGCUACAACAUGUGCUUCUCAGGCUGGAAGUAAUGAGAUAGAACUCAGAACCAGGAUCCAGGAUGCAAAUGCAGCACUGGGUACACCAACAGACCUGCCAGUUUGCAGCACUGGUGACACACACCCACAAAGGCUGCUCGCAGUUAAUAAGGGGAAUUUUGUCAACCCCAAAGCGACUUUGAUAUGGAUAUAUAGUGCUUUGAUGCAUGUCCUCAGCAACAGGAAUCCUCCUGAAGUAAGUUCCUAGAAAGUCCCUGAGGAAGAGAUCUUCAUAUUUAAUAUGGCUCAGCUGCCAGCUCUGAAGAAUGGGAUG